UACGUAGGGGGCGAGCGUUGUCCGAAGUUACUGGGCGUAAAGCGCGCGUAGGCGGCCACUUAAGUCUGGGGUGAAAGGUUCAGCGCUCAACGCGAACAGUGCCUUGGAUACUGCGAGGCUUGAGCACUGUAGAGGCAGGUGGAAUUCCGGGUGUAGCGGUGGAAUGCGUAGAGAUCCGGAAGAACACCGGUGGCGAAGGCGGCCUGCUGGGCAGUAGCUGACGCUGAGGCGCGACAGCGUGGGGGAGCAAACAGG
rnacentral:rRNA from 1 species